CUGGGAGAAGUGACUAAAAAUUUAGUGUUUAAUGAUCAACAAAAAAUACUUGUCCUCGGAAAUUACCACAGUAUUUAUUGUCAGGAAAGUUACAAUAGAGUUACAGCUCUUCUCUUGAUAAAUUAAUAAAGCUGUUAGGUCAACAUUGAUCUCGAAAGAAAAUACUUCCUCCAAGACUGAAAACAUUUUUCAAGCUUCAGUUCUAAGGCAUUUUUGCAUUAAAAUAUGUAGAGAAUGCAAAGUGAAUUUGCUUGGCUGUUAGACUUCUGUUUCAUAAAUAAUAAAUAUCAUAAUAAAAUAUGGGAUCAGAAAGACCUGAUCCCAUAAAAAGUUAAGCACAGGCUUAGGCAAGUAUGAGGUCACACUGGCUCCUCAAUGUGAGUGCUUGUAAAUGAAAAUACAUUAACUGAUGUACAUAAAGAUAUCAAUAGCAAAGAUAUUAACCACUGCUAACUUGCAGACACCUAGCCCACAAGAAAUAGAUGUAAAAUAUAUUAUAUGUGAACACAAAUUCAUAGGCACAGACUGCAACUAUUGUUUAGGUUAGACAGAAAAUAGAGCAUCAUCUGGCUUUCUUACCCUGUAGUUGUCGGAGAGGAUCUGCCUUUAAUACCUCAACUGCUCCAAGGCUUCCCACCUACUGUUUCUGUCUUUUAUCACAUAAACCUCAUCAUUCCUUUUUUUUUACUCUGCCUUCUGACUUUGUUAGCUUCUCUUUCCAAAGCUCAAUGUCACUGUGUUUCAUAGUACUGGUACAUGCAACUCUAAGGCCCUGCUAACUCUUUUUUCAUUUCCCUUUUCAAAAUCAAACACCAUAGUGCUUAAAAUAGCAGAUGGGUAAUUACAGCUCAGAAAUGAGUUAGAAAGGCUAGAAGGUGUUCUGAAGGUUCAGUCUGUCCAUUGGGCCACUGUAGUGAUGCCUACGCUCACUAUGUGUGAUGUCAUAGAUAUGUAGAUGUAUUCCAUGUUCUGUCACAUUUCCCAUGAGCUGGCAGCACAGACACAGCCAGUGGUGUGGAAAUUCACCUGUGACUGUGGCUAACUGGCACACAUUCAACCUCAAAGAGUGGAUGUUUAGAAACAAUAUGGAAGGCAUUCAUCUAAAGGGAAGAAAGGAGAAGGGAAGGGGAGUUGAAAUUACAGGGAAGUAUGUCAGAUGCUCAGUAGUAAAUGUAAUGGAGAUAGGGCAAACCAGUUUGAUCCAUGCAGACAUUAGUUACUGUGGGAAUACUGCGGAAAACUGUGAAGAAAC
rnacentral:lncRNA from 1 species